rnacentral:rRNA from 1 species
CUGAAGUUCUUCCUCGGUCUUCAAAUACGACAACAACGGAAUGGCAUCUUCAUAUCUCAAGAGAAAUAUCUCAAAGAUUGCCUAAAGAAGUUCGGUAUGCAAGACUGCAAAGGCUUCACAACACCAAUGCCAGCCAAACAUUAUCUGGGUCCUGACGACAAUGGUAAAGAGUUCGAUCAAAAGGUAUACCACUCCAUGAUUGGUUCUUUACUUUAUCUAUGUGCAUCUAGGCCAGAUAUUAUGCUUAAUGUUUGCAUGUGUGCUCGAUUUCAAGCGGCACCAAAGGAGUCGCGUCACUUAGCUGUGAAGCGAAUUCUUCGAUAUUUGGCUCACACCCCAACUCUAGGGUUAUGGUAUCCAAAGGGCUCAGAGUUUGAUCUGGUUGGAUUCUCGGAUGCUGAUUAUGCUGGUGACAAAGUUGAUCGCAAGUGUACAUCAGGCACAUGUCACUUUCUGGGACGAUCACUUGUAUGUUGGUCUUCAAAGAAGCAGAACUGUGUAUCUCUC